GACGAACGCUGGCGGCGUGCUUAACACAUGCAAGUCGAACGGAAAGGCCCUGCUUUUGUGGGGUGCUCGAGUGGCGAACGGGUGAGUAACACGUGAGUAACCUGCCCUUGACUUUGGGAUAACUUCAGGAAGCUGGGGCUAAUACCGGCUAGGAGCUCCUGCUGCAUGGUGGGGGUUGGAAAGUUUCGGCGGUUGGGGAUGGACUCGCGGCUUAUCAGCUUGUUGGUGGGGUAGUGGCUUACCAAGGCUUUGACGGGUAGCCGGCCUGAGAGGGUGACCGGCCACAUUGGGACUGAGAUACGGCCCAGACUCCUACGGGAGGCAGCAGUGGGGAAGAUUGCACAAUGGGCGGAAGCCUGAUGCAGCAACGCCGCGUGCGGGAUGACGGCCUUCGGGUUGUAAACCGCUUUCGCCUGUGACGAAGCGUGAGUGACGGUAAUGGGUAAAGAAGCACCGGCUAACUACGUG
rnacentral:rRNA from 1 species